GCAUAAGUCACUUAUUUUUUUUAUAAUUUUCUAAACAUCUAAAUGAUCCGAAUUAAAUUGGCAAACUACUUUUUUCCGCAAAUCAAAGAAAAGAACGACUGAAAUUUCCACAAAAUGAUAAUUAAUCUGUGCAUGCUCAUGAACAGUGUAUAUAUCUAUGUGUAGUACAGUACUAUAUUUUCUUAUAAAUAAGAAUGGUACGACGUGCUUUCUAUGGUUGAUGUAACAUGCAUGUCUCAUCCGAGCCCGAGGAGGGCGAGCAAGAGUUCUUACAAAUAAGAAAAGACACCACUUCUAGUCUUAUAUGAACGAAGUUUGCAGUAAAAAAAUAAAAUAGGAUUUUAUCCCAAGCUUGGUUUUUUCAGGACGAUCAUGAAUUGAUUUUUUUUUUCAUUUUCAGGAAUUGAUUUUUUUUUCUCUUUCGUUUUCCAAAUAUUUUCUUACCAAGAGUUUAUGAACCAAAACCUUUAUACAUAAUUUCAGGCCAAAAACUAGAACCUGUAGUAUGGUUAUCUCGCAAACGUAGCCUAAAUUCUUGACCCGAGGUCCAUGAGAACUCUCAACCAACCGAGUAUGAUAUCGAUCAAUUAGAAAAGAAAUAAAAAAAUACGAUAUAGAUGCUUGGUGGGAAUUAAAUUCACGAUACUUUUCUUCUGCCAAAGAAACACGACUGGAG
rnacentral:lncRNA from 1 species